ensembl:lncRNA
GUAGGAUAGCCCUUCAGCAGCAGAUGGAGGCUAACCUCUGGCCUCAGUCCUCCAGACCAGGCCCCGGUCCCACCAUGCAGCCACAAGGCUGCCCACCCUGAGAGCAGAGGACGGCGGAACAAGGGGCCUUGUCCUGAGCCCAGAGGUCUGGCAGGUGGAGCGAUGUGGGGGUCUGACUCCGUCUGCCCUCCGCCAUUCCCUCAGACCCUCUGCAGCAGGACAGGAUGGCCGUCGUUCAUGCCAUCCAUUCAGAACACGGAGGGCUACUGCAGCGACCGGAGUGAUGACCACACACCCACACCAGCUCCCGGAAAAGGAGGUGACGGAGGUUCAGCUUUCCGCCAAGCAAGGCAGACUAGGAGAGCCACCCCCAGGUACGGGCGCUCUACGGGUGGGGAUGAGGGUGAUGAGGACACAGACGAAGGGCACUGCAGCCGCAGGAGUAAGAACCAGAUGACCCUAGAAGUCCAGUUGGAGAAGAUGAAAUGCGAUGGGUCCAGGAUGGAGGAUGUUCUCAGGACUCUCCGCCAUAAGUGUGAAACAGAGGAGGGGAAACUGGAGCUGAGAAGAGAAGCGCUGCGUGAGUCAGAGUCUUCCAUCUCUGACGCUCAGCAGAAAACAAAGCAUGCUUUGCAGGAGCUGGCCCAGAUUUGUACCGAGACAGCACAGAUGGAGUUGGAGGGACAGAAACUGGACACCCGUCUGAGGGAAAGAAAGCCCAGAUGUAGGAACUCCCCGGGGUUAAACCGGCGACUGUGAAGUGAGGUUCUUCAGCUGUGUAGCCUGAGGAGCGAGUCCUGUCUCCAGCCAAUCGGGGACAUGGAGGAGGAGCCUGGAAAUCUGCGCAGAAUGACCCAAGAUGGCUGCCACGCUGAGACGAAAGCGCCGGGUUUGGUGGUGUCCAUCUUGGAGAGGCUGGAGACGGAGCGGCAGCUGGACUCCACCAAAACCCAACUGUUUGCAGAGAAGCGACGCUCUCGGGACAAGCUGGACUCCAUGCAGGAGCGGUUGGAUGAGGCUGAGGAAGAGCUCCAGAGGGCCAGAGAGGAGCAGGGCCUGCUGAGGUCCAGGAUUGAGGCUCUAGAGGAGGAACAGAGGCAGAAACAGGAGCUUGUGGUGGCUCUGCAGCGGGGGUCCGGGGGGCUGCGGGGCCAGCUGGUUGAGUGUAAGGAGAGGCUGGGCUCCCUGGAGAAGAUUGUAGCCCAAAAGGACCUUCAGAUAAUUUGCGCCCAGGAAGUGCAGGAGGCUCUGCGUGCUGCCAGAAACAGCCUACAGGGGGAGCUCCAAACAAUGACACUCCAGCACUGCAAGGUAGGCAAGAUGGUGGCAGAAGAGAAAGACCUCGCUUUGAGGGAACAGGCUGAGGUGUUCACACGGCAGCUGGAGUCUGCUCAAACCUCCCUGAAGCUGAGCGAGGACGUGGCCAGGGGGCUGAGGGGGGCUCUGCACCAGCAGGAAGAGACUGGGAAGAAACGGGAAGAGCAGAUGCAUGAUGAAGCCAAAGAAAAGGUCCGGAAGGCUUCAGAGGUGGAGAAGGAGAACAUGGCUGCCCUGCAGCAGCUGCAGGAGAGGAACCAGGAAGCGCUGGAGGGAGCUAGGCGUAACCUUGAGGAGGAGAGGAAGAACUCUCAGGCUCUUCAGAAACGCGCGGCCGAGCUGCAGACUAAGGUAGAGGAGCUGGAGGGAGCGUUCUGUUUUCAGAAGAGAGAGCAGGACGCGGCGCUAGCCAUGCUACACAGCUCGCUAACGGAGGAGCGCCGUGCCGAGCUAAAGCGACAACGCAGACACAUGGAGCAGGAGCUUGCUGUGAGGCUGCGAAGGCUGGAGGAGACAGGCCAGCUGGCGCAGAGGGAGGCAGAGCGACUGCGCCGGGAGAUGGGUGAGAGGGAGGAGAGCCACCAGAGGACCACAGCCAUGCUGGAGCAGCAGCUGAGACAGGUCACCCAGGGGCUGGUGGCCGAGGGCCAGCAGCUCUGCCUCCUGGUGGACCAGGGAGGAUCCAGAGGAGAGCCCACGCAGCUCCCUCAGAGUCCUACUGCAGCCCAGGCCUGCCAGUACCUGCACGAUCUGAGGGUGCAGUUGCAGAACUUCAUCCACCAUCUUCUCCAGGAGCUGCAGUCUCAGAAACAGAACGCUUCCAGACUGAAGCACGCCCAGGAGCAGGAGUUGUGUAUCCAGAGGGAGAAGAUGGAGAUGGAGAAACAGCAGGCCUUGCAUUCCCUGAAGGAGCGUCUCAUUCAGGAGCACGUGGAGGAGUUGAGCAGCGUGAGGCGGGGGCCCGGGGCCUCCCUACGAAGGCAACGGCAGGCCACAGACCAGGAAGUGAGGCAGGUCCAGAGCAGCAGGGGCCGGUUGAAGAGCCUGACCGGGUCUGAGGAGAAGCUCCCAGCUGAGGGGGAGAGACGGAUCGGUAGGAGCCAAGAGAGGAAGCCCAGGAGGCCUGAUGGAGCGACGAGCCUGGCGGGCGAGGCGUCGGGCGACUCUGGGGGACAUCGGCUGGUGGCAGACCCCUCCUGCCACGCACCCGGGUCUCCCCCCCGCCCAGCCUCUGACCCCGCCUCCCUGAGGAUCCUUCACCACCUCCGGAGCCGGAUCCGAGAGCUCCGCGCCGAGGGCCAGAGCGGCCCCUCCCCCGCUCCGCCCAGGCAGGGCAGCGACCUUUUGGGGUCCUACCUAGAGACGGUACGGCCCCCGGUGGAGAGGACUCGGACCGCCUGUCCCUUAGUAAGCUGAGGGCUUACUAGUCUGACAUUCAGUUUACUAUCCUGUGAUGAGACAUUGGUAUCUUUUUUUUUGACCUUAUUAAAGAAAAUGUGUGAAACAUUGCAAAAGACAUCACAUUCACGUUAAAUGGACGACUAUUAGCCAUAUUAGGAUUUAUGAGUUCAUAGCGCAGAGGGAUGAGCCGCUCAUUUGGGGACUGAAAGGUUGCUGGUUCAUUUGGAGCAACCAUCUUUGAUUCUCUGAGGAAGAGUUGGUUGCGUCGAACUUGAAGGGCAAUGGCCGCAUAAGGUGUUCAGAUGUAAACCGUCAGCUCAGCAGUACGUUGACUAGGA